rnacentral:rRNA from 1 species
ACUCAAAUGAAUAGACGGGGGCCCGCACAAGCGGUGGAGUAUGUGGUUUAAUUCGAUGCAACGCGAAGAACCUUACCCAGACUUGACAUCUAUGGAACUCGCGCCAAAACGCGGGGUGCCCUUCGGGGAAUCAUAAGACAGGUGCUGCAUGGCUGUCGUCAGCUCGUGCCGUGAGGUGUUGGGUUAAGUCCCGCAACGAGCGCAACCCUUAUGCAUAGUUGCUACCAGGUAAAGCUGGGCACUCUAUGGAGACUGCCCCGGUUAACGGGGAGGAAGGUGGGGACGACGUCAAGUCAUCAUGGCCCUUACGUUUGGGGCUACACACGUACUACAAUGGCGCGUACAAAGGGCAGCGAUGCCGCGAGGUGGAGCCAAUCCCAAAAAACGCGUCCCAGUCCGGAUUGCAGUCUGCAACUCGACUGCAUGAAGUUGGAAUCGCUAGUAAUUCCGGAUCAGCAUGCCGGGGUGAAUGCGUUCCCGGGCCUUGCACACACCGCCCGU